GAGAGGGGGAAGAGGUAGAGAGAGAGACAAGAGAGAGAGACAAGAGAGAGAGACAAGAGAGAGAGACAAGAGAGAGAGGGGGGAAGAGGUAGAGAAGAGGAGAGUGAGGGAAGAGAGGUAGAAGAGAGGUAGAAGAGAGGUAGAGAAGAGGUAGAGAAGAGGUAGAGAGGGAAGAGAGAGAGGGAAAAGAGAGAGAAGAGUGACAGAGAUGAGAGAGGGGGAAGAGGUAGAGAAGAGGAGAGAGGGUGAGAGAAGGUGAGAGAAGGUGAGAGAGGGUGAGAGAGGGUGAAGAGGUAGAGAAGAGGUAGAGAAGAGGUAGAGGA